rnacentral:rRNA from 1 species
GACAUACUAAGAACUUUCCGAGAGAUGGAUUGGUGCCUUCGGGAACUUAGAUACAGGUGCUGCAUGGCUGUCGUCAGCUCGUGUCGUGAGAUGUUGGGUUAAGUCCCGCAACGAGCGCAACCCUUUUCCUAUUUGCCAGCGGGUCAUGCCGGGAACUUUAAGGAUACUGCCAGUGACAAACUGGAGGAAGGCGGGGACGACGUCAAGUCAUCAUGGCCCUUACGGCCAGGGCUACACACGUGCUACAAUGGUCGGUACAAAGGGUUGCUACCUCGCGAGAGGAUGCUAAUCUCAAAAAGCCGAUCGUAGUCCGGAUCGCAGUCUGCAACUCGACUGCGUGAAGUCGGAAUCGCUAGUAAUCGCGGAUCAGAAUGCCGCGGUGAAUACGUUCCCGGGCCUUGUACACACCGCCCGUCACACCAUGGGAGUUUGUUGCACCAGAAGUAGGUAGUCUAACCGCAAGGAGGACGCUUACCACGGUGUGGCCGAUGACUGGGGUGAAGUCGUAACAAGGUAAGCGUAGAUGA